rnacentral:rRNA from 1 species
GUGUCAGCAGCCGCGGUAAUACGUAGGGUGCGAGCGUUAAUCGGAAUUACUGGGCGUAAAGGGCGCGUAGGCGGUUCGCUAAGUUGGAUGUGAAAACUCUGGGCUCAACCCAGAGCCUGCAUCCAAAACUGGCGGGCUAGAGUUCUGGAGGGGGUAGCGGAAUUCCUGGUGUAGCGGUGAAAUGCGUAGAUAUCAGGAGGAACACCGGUGGCGAAGGCGGCUACCUGGACAGAAACUGACGCUGAGGCGCGAAAGCUAGGGGAGCAAACAGGAUUAGAUACCCUGGUAGUCCUAGCCCUAAACGAUGGAUACUUGGUGUGACUGGGAUUGAAUCCAGUCGUGCCGAAGCUAACGCAUUAAGUAUCCCGCCUGGGGAGUACGGUCGCAAGGCUGAA